rnacentral:rRNA from 1 species
AGUGAACGCUGGCGGUAGGCCUAACACAUGCAAGUCGAACGGCAGCACAGUAAGAGCUUGCUCUUACGGGUGGCGAGUGGCGGACGGGUGAGGAAUACAUCGGAAUCUACUUUUUCGUGGGGGAUAACGUAGGGAAACUUACGCUAAUACCGCAUACGACCUACGGGUGAAAGCAGGGGAUCUUCGGACCUUGCGCGAUUGAAUGAGCCGAUGUCGGAUUAGCUAGUUGGCGGGGUAAAGGCCCACCAAGGCGACGAUCCGUAGCUGGUCUGAGAGGAUGGUCAGCCACACUGGAGCUGAGACACGGUCCAGACUCCUACGUGAGGCAGCAGUGGGGAAUAUUGGACAAUGGGCGCAAGCCUGAUCCAGCCAUACCGCGUGGGUGAAGAAGGCCUUCGGGUUGUAAAGCCCUUCUGUUGGGAAAGAAAAGCAGCAGGUUAAUACCCCGCUGUUCUGACGGUACCCAAAGAAUAAGCACCGGCUAACUUCGUG